GAUGAACGCUGGCGGCGUGCCUAAUACAUGCAAGUCGAGCGAAUGGAUUAAGAGCUUGCUCUUAUGAAGUUAGCGGCGGACGGGUGAGUAACACGUGGGUAACCUGCCCAUAAGACUGGGAUAACUCCGGGAAACCGGGGCUAAUACCGGAUAACAUUUUGAACCGCAUGGUUCGAAAUUGAAAGGCGGCUUCGGCUGUCACUUAUGGAUGGACCCGCGUCGCAUUAGCUAGUUGGUGAGGUAACGGCUCACCAAGGCAACGAUGCGUAGCCGACCUGAGAGGGUGAUCGGCCACACUGGGACUGAGACACGGCCCAGACUCCUACGGGAGGCAGCAGUAGGGAAUCUUCCGCAAUGGACGAAAGUCUGACGGAGCAACGCCGCGUGAGUGAUGAAGGCUUUCGGGUCGUAAAACUCUGUUGUUGGGGAAGAACAAGUGCUAGUUGAAUAAGCUGGCACCUUGACGGUACCUAACCAGAAAGCACCGGCUAACUACGUGCCAGCCGCCGCCGUAA
rnacentral:rRNA from 1 species